rnacentral:rRNA from 1 species
GACGAACGCUGGCGGCGUGCUUAACACAUGCAAGUCGAACGAUGAAGCCAGAGCUUGCUCUGGUGGAUUAGUGGCGAACGGGUGAGUAACACGUGAGUAACCUGCCCCGAACUCUGGGAUAACUGCUGGAAACGGUAGCUAAUACUGGAUACGACCAACGAAGGCAUCUUCUGUUGGUGGAAAGAAUUUCGGUUCGGGAUGGACUCGCGGCCUAUCAGCGUGUUGGUGAGGUAACGGCUCACCAAGGCGACGACGGGUAGCCGGCCUGAGAGGGUGAUCGGCCACACGGGGACUGAGACACGGCCCAGACUCCUACGGGAGGCAGCAGUGGGGAAUAUUGCACAAUGGGCGCAAGCCUGAUUCAGCAACGCCGCGUGAGGGAUGACGGCCUUCGGGUUGUAAACCUCUUUUAGUAGGGAAGAAGCGAAAGUGACGGUACCUGCAGAAAAAGCACCGGCUAACUACGUGCCAGCCGCCGCAGUAA